UCCAGCCCACACCCAGCCAGACCUCAGAGCCAGGGAACAGAGUGGGAAAGGAAACUCCCCACCCUCACCCGCUGCUGUCCACAGCGAGGAGCUUAGAAUGGAGGCUUGCUACCCCACAUGCCAUGCAGAGACACAGACAUACUCAGCCUACCACACCCACACUGGUUCUCUCUGGCACGGGGCUCCUCAUGGACUGGACAAUCUGGAGGACAGGACCUGAGUCUCUAUUUCCUCACCUCCCCCAGGACCCAGACCUGCGUUCGGCCAGCACCGACACGCCCACGGUCACCUCCGAUACUGGGUCCUCAGCUGCCCGCAUCAGCACAAUCUGGAUGACGCGGCCCUCGUAGAUGUGAGCAUCAAACGUGGUCUUCCACUCAGGAUACAUGGUCGGCUUCUUCUGCACCAGCGUCUUCCCUCGUUCUGCAAUGGGGUCAGGCAGGCCUCCACUUGCCAUAACUUGAGGAACUGGCCCUGCUCCCCACUCUGCCCUGCAACAGCCUGGAGUCCCUCUGCACUAGGUAAAGCCCAGAUGAUGCCCCCCGACUUCAGGGACCUCGAAAAAGCUGGGAGAGAUAAGACCAACCCAUGUAGCAGGCCAUUCCCAGAGGGCAGGAAACAGAGGAGCUGGUGAGCAUGGGCAUGAGUGGGCUGGACAGACCUAGUUCAGAUCCAGUGCCCUGAGAACAUGGCUGAGUCUUGGGCAGGCAUGCUGAGCACCAGGCCUGACACAAGAAACAGUGCCAACACCCAGAAGCUGUCACCACUGUCAUCCUCACACCCUGCUCUGUCUCUGCCCAUUUUCAUCUAUCCUCGGUCACUCAGUCAUGGGGUGCCUGGCCUGUGAGAAGGGUCUGGGGUGGGCUGAGGCAGCCUACAUCCAUGGGCAGAGCACAGGCCUCAGCUUCCCUGUCUUAACAAUGGAAACCCUCAAGAUUUCUCCAGUCCUGAUACUGGAGGACCCCAAGAGCCUCCUCUCACACCCCCAACCUUGGCCCUGAAGCCUAUACCACACAGACAUCUGAUCCGACCUUGGCUUUGGUGACUGGCUGCUCGGCUGCUCUUGUUUACCCAAUACAACCAUAGACAUGA